GAUGAACGCUGGCGGCGUGCCUAAUACAUGCAAGUCGAGCGAACAGAUAAGGAGCUUGCUCCUUUGACGUUAGCGGCGGACGGGUGAGUAACACGUGGGUAACCUACCUAUAAGACUGGGAUAACUUCGGGAAACCGGAGCUAAUACCGGAUAACAUUUGGAACCGCAUGGUUCUAAAGUGAAAGAUGGUUUUGCUAUCACUUAUAGAUGGACCCGCGCCGUAUUAGCUAGUUGGUAAGGUAACGGCUUACCAAGGCGACGAUACGUAGCCGACCUGAGAGGGUGAUCGGCCACACUGGAACUGAGACACGGUCCAGACUCCUACGGGAGGCAGCAGUAGGGAAUCUUCCGCAAUGGGCGAAAGCCUGACGGAGCAACGCCGCGUGAGUGAUGAAGGGUUUCGGCUCGUAAAACUCUGUUAUUAGGGAAGAACAAAUGUGUAAGUAACUGUGCACGUCUUGAUGGUACCUAAUCAGAAAGCCACGGCUAACUACGUG
rnacentral:rRNA from 1 species